rnacentral:rRNA from 1 species
GUCGAGCGAACAGACGAGGAGCUUGCUCCUCUGACGUUAGCGGCGGACGGGUGAGUAACACGUGGAUAACCCACCUAUAAGACUGGGAUAACUCCGGGAAACCGGGGCUAAUACCGGAUAAUACAUGAAACCGCAUGGUUUCAUGAUGAAAGACGGUUUUGCUGUCACUUAUAGAUGGACCCGCGGCGUAUUAGCUAGUUGGUAAGGUAACGGCUUACCAAGGCAACGAUACGUAGCCGACCUGAGAGGGUGAUCGGCCACACUGGAACUGAGACACGGUCCAGACUCCUACGGGAGGCAGCAGUAGGGAAUCUUCCGCAAUGGGCGAAAGCCUGACGGAGCAACGCCGCGUGAGUGAUGAAGGUCUUCGGAUCGUAAAACUCUGUUAUUAGGGAAGAACAAAUGUGUAAGUAACUAUGCACGUCUUGACGGUACCUAAUCAGAAAGCCACGGCUAACUACGUGCCAGCAGCCGCGGUAAUACGUAGGUGGCAAGCGUUAUCCGGAAUUAUUGGGCGUAAAGCGCGCGUAGGCGGUUUUUUAAGUCUGAUGUGAAAGCCCACGGCUCAACCGUGGAGGGUCAUUGGAAACUGAAAAACUUGGGUGCAGAAGAGGAAAGUGGAAUUCCAUGUGUAGCGGUGAAAUGCGCAGAGAUAUGGAGGAACACCAGUGGCGAAGGCGACUUUCUGGUCUGUAACUGACGCUGAUGUGCGAAAGCGU